rnacentral:rRNA from 2 species
GAUCAUGGCUCAGGACGAACGCUGGCGGCGUGCCUAAUACAUGCAAGUCGAGCGGACAGAAGGGAGCUUGCUCCCGGAAGUCAGCGGCGGACGGGUGAGUAACACGUAGGUAACCUGCCCCUUAGACUGGGAUAACUCCGGGAAACCGGAGCUAAUACGGGAUAAUAAAGAGAAUCACCUGAUUCUCUUUUGAAAGACGGUUUCGGCUGUCACUAAGGGAUGGGCCUGCGGCGCAUUAGCUAGUUGGUAAGGUAACGGCUUACCAAGGCGACGAUGCGUAGCCGACCUGAGAGGGUGAUCGGCCACACUGGGACUGAGACACGGCCCAGACUCCUACGGGAGGCAGCAGUAGGGAAUCUUCCGCAAUGGACGAAAGUCUGACGGAGCAACGCCGCGUGAGUGAGGAAGGCCUUCGGGUCGUAAAGCUCUGUUGUGAGGGAAGAACAAGUACCGGCGUAACUACCGGUACCUUGACGGUACCUCACCAGAAAGCCACGGCUAACUACGUGCCAGCAGCCGCGGUAAUACGUAGGUGGCAAGCGUUGUCCGGAAUUA